AGUGAAAUUGCUGGGUCAUAUGGUAACUCUGUGUUUAAUUUUUUAAGUACCUGCCAAACUGUUUUUCAAAGCAGUUUGACCAUUUUACAUUCCCACCAACAAU
rnacentral:pre_miRNA from 1 species